rfam:Roseovarius albus strain CECT 7450 genome assembly, contig: 0006
AUCUCUGAUGCCAAGCUGCCGGACAUGCAAGCCGGAUACGAGAUGAUGUGUUCGAACGUUAUGGCGGGUCUGUCAGGUCUGAACAUGGUGUAUGAGGCUG